rnacentral:rRNA from 1 species
CCUANGGGUGGCAGCAGUGGGGAAUUUUGGACAAUGGACGAAAGUCUGAUCCAGCGACGCCGCGUGGAGGACGAAGGUUUUCGGAUCGUAAACUCCUUUUACAGGGGACGAAAGCGGGCAACCGUUUGACGGUACUCUGUGAAUAAGCCACGGCUAACUACGUGCCAGCAGCCGCGGUAAUACGUAGGUGGCGAGCGUUACUCGGAAUUACUAGGCGUAAAGCGCGUGUAGGCGGGAGCUUAAGUCUGUUGUGAAAGCUCAGGGCUCAACCCUGAAAUGUCAACAGAAACUGGGUUUCUUGAGUGCGGUAGAGGAGAUCGGAAUUCCAGGUGUAGCUGUGAAAUGCGUAGAUAUCUGGAAGAACGCCAAAGGCGAAGGCAGAUCUCUGGGCCGUUACUGACGCUGAGACGCGAAAGCUAGGGGAGCAAACAGGAUUAGAUACCCGGNUANUC